ensembl:lncRNA novel transcript
ACACCUACAAUUCACACCAGUAAGCCUCCUUCUAUCCAACAAUUUAAAGGACAUUCCUGGGGCUCAUGCCUGCUUUGGUCAGUAGAAUACAGCUGAAGUGAUGUUGUACCAGUUUUGCGUCUGGUCUUUACAAGCACUGGUAGCUUCAACUUUCUCCUUCUUGGUACUCACCCACCAUGUUGUAAGGAAACCCAAACAGCCACGUGGAAGACAGUUCUAGUUGAGCUCCCAGCCCAGAGCCUAUCCCAACUCUCCAGCCAUACCCUGACUUCCUUCAGCAAAGAGACAGCUUCUGAUUCAUGUUCGUCUCACCAUAAUCAGUCCUUGAAGGCUCACCUAUCCUCGUGGCUGCAGCCAUUUCCCUCUCUGCAGAUACUUCCAAAAGUUACACUAGAUGUUAACUGAGCACUAAGGACACUACGUGAAAGACUGGAGUACAAACAUCCAAAGGACUGAAGAAUUUGAAGAGCACUGAAUGUGGGAGAUAGGACAGAGGAAAGGAGUCAAAUGUCUCCAAGAAACGAAGCCUGUGUGCCCUGGAGAAUGAAGAAGCAUCAUCAAAUCGGGGAGACUGAAGGAGGAAUCGGUUUUCAGAGAAAAACAAUUUAUAUUGUCUUAGCUGUGUUAGGUGGCAUACUAUUACAUUCAAGUGAAGCUGUGUAAUAGACAGAGAUGACAAAUUUUAUUCAUUUAUGAAUGCCCCCCAAAAUAUAUAUAUAGUUUUUGCCCUCAUGUCUCUUAUUGGGAUGACAGACAUAAAUCAAAGAAUUCCAUAAAUAAAUAUUAAAAUACAAUUUGUGAUAAA